GACGAACGCUGGCGGCGUGCUUAACACAUGCAAGUCGAACGGAAAGGCCCUGCUUUUGUGGGGUGCUCGAGUGGCGAACGGGUGAGUAACACGUGAGUAACUUGCCCUUGACUUUGGGAUAACUUCAGGAAACUGGGGCUAAUACCGGAUAGGAGCUCCUGCUGCAUGGUGGGGGUUGGAAAGUUUCGGCGGUUGGGGAUGGACUCGCGGCUUAUCAGCUUGUUGGUGGGGUAGUGGCUUACCAAGGCUUUGACGGGUAGCCGGCCUGAGAGGGUGACCGGCCACAUUGGGACGGAGAUACGGCCCAGACUCCUACGGGAGGCAGCAGUGGGGGAUAUUGCACAAUGGGCGGAAGCCUGAUGCAGCAACGCCGCGUGCGGGAUGACGGCCUUCGGGUUGUAAACCGCUUUCGCCUGUGACGAAGCGUGAGUGACGGUAAUGGGUAAAGAAGCACCGGCUAACUACGUG
rnacentral:rRNA from 1 species